UACGUAGGGGGGCGAGCGUUUGUCCGGAUUUAUUGGGCGUAAAGAGCUCGUAGGCGGCUGUUCGAGUCGGGUGUGAAAUCCUGAGGCUUAACCUUGGGUCUGCAUUCGAUACUGGGCGGCUUGAGUCUGGUAGGGGGAUCUGGAAUUCCUGGUGUAGCGGUGAAAUGCGCAGAUAUCAGGAGGAACACCGGUGGCGAAGGCGGGUCUCUGGGGCC
rnacentral:rRNA from 1 species